UUGAAGUAAAAGGUCGUAACAAGGUUUCCGUAGGUGAACCUGCGGAAGGAUCAUUACCGAGUUGAUUCGAGCUCCGGCUCGACUCUCCCACCCAAUGUGUACCUACCUCUGUUGCUUUGGCGGGCCGCGGUCCUCCGCACCGGCGCCCUUCGGGGGGCUGGCCAGCGCCCGCCAGAGGACCAUAAAACUCCAGUCAGUGAACUUCGCAGUCUGAAAAACAAGUUAAUAAACUAAAACUUUCAACAACGGAUCUCUUGGUUCUGGCAUCGAUGAAGAACGCAGCGAAAUGCGAUAAGUAAUGUGAAUUGCAGAAUUCAGUGAAUCAUCGAAUCUUUGAACGCACAUUGCGCCCCUUGGUAUUCCGAGGGGCAUGCCUGUUCGAGCGUCAUUUCAACCCUCAAGCUCUGCUUGGUAUUGGGCUUCGUCCUCCACGGACGCGCCUUAAAGACCUCGGCGGUGGCGUCUUGCCUCAAGCGUAGUAGAAAACACCUCGCUUUGGAGCGCACGGCGUCGCCCGCCGGACGAACCUUGAAUAUUCUCAAGGUGACCUCGGUCAGGUAGGACCGUCGGCUUCUCUCGCUGC
rnacentral:rRNA from 1 species